rnacentral:lncRNA from 1 species
UAAACAUCCACUUACUCAAGUAUUGGGAAUGUCUUUCUCUUUUUUUCUGAUGAUUAAAGAAUGUUGACUAAAUUAAAUAGAACUCAAGAAAAGCUAGAUGCAAAUGAAAGGAUUCCUCUGCCAACUAAGCUCCCUGAAGAAGUUAGAGGGCAAAAAAACCCCUUCAAUUUUUCUUUUUCCAUCGUCCCGUGUCUUCUGAAGUCACUCUUGAUCUCAUCACAGCACCAGGUCAGGUGGAGCAUUUGUCAGUCUGGGUUCCUGAGUGACUACAAGGAGAAGUCCCCGUGGGUAUGGCUGACAGAAUUACCCCAGGAACUGGAGAACCAAGAUUUGGGCCAGGCAGCAGGACCAAAGCCAAUGUCUUGUGCAACACGAGUGAGAAAUAAAUUUUUGUUUUGUUAAGCCUCUACAAUUUUUAGGCUGUUUGUAACUGUAGCAUAAUUGUAUUAUUGCUACCUACCAGAUUACUGCAAAUUUAGCACUUUUUAGCGACACACAUUUAUUAUCUCAGUUUCCAUGGGUUAGGUUGGGCAUGGCGAGCUGGGUCCUUUGCUUAGGGUCUUGCAAGGCAUAAAUCAAGGUUUCUGUGAGCUGCAUCCUCAUUUGAAGACUCGACUGGGGAAAGAUUCAUUGCCAAGCUUCCACAGGUUGUUGGAAUUUAGUUUGUUGCAGUUGUAUGACUGAGGUCCCUCUGUCCCUUACUAAUUGUCAUCUGGGUGCUGUUCUCAACUCUUUGAGGCUGCCCACAUGCCUGUCCAUGUGGCCUCUUCCAUCUUCAAAGACAGCUACAGAGAAACCUCCUCAUGUCGAUUCCAUCUCACACUUCAAAUCUCCCCAACUUCUCCUGCCUAUGACCUCUAGACCCAGAUAAAGGGUUUAUGUGAUUAGGUCAACCCAUCAGCACAAUUACCCUUUUUUAAAGUCAGCUGUGCCAUAUAAAUCUAUUAUAUUUCUAUGGGGUUUAUACAGACAGUGUACACCAGGGCGUGAGGAUAUUAGGGGACAUCUUAGAAUUCUGCCUAGGACACUAAGCUAACCGAUAUUGGUUGACACUCAUGGGUCAGAUGCAGCAAGAGGACCUGGAAAAGCAGAAGAAUGGAUUCCAUUCUCUUUUUAAUCCCAAUGCAAUUUCUUUUCCUUCACAACCUUUUCUCAGAGUGUAUAUUUUGGGACUUUUCCAUCAAAAAGGACAACAGCUCACAAAACACAUGUGGUUUGGGGGACACAUGGAGUCAACCUAAGGUAUCCCAGGGCUCCAUUGUUCCCUUGAAGUUCUAAGGUCUAUCUCACGCCUCCCCUCUGCCCCAUCAAGACCCUCACACUCUUUGUAACCACAUCUGAGAAGCACAUGUUAAUUAUUAUAAUCUUUCUUGAAAACAAUUUAGAAAUCUCUAUCAGUGAGCCUUAGUAAACUCAAUUCCUGGAAUAAUCAAAAUAAAUGCUCAUAUUUAUGUGCAAGGGGAAGGAUUGCAGGGUUACUUAUCAUCAAAUGAAAAUACACUCAUUAUUCAACCCUUAGAGGGUUGAUAAAUUAGAGGACAA